rnacentral:rRNA from 1 species
UCUUGGUCCAUUUAGAGGAAGUAAAAGUCGUAACAAGGUUUCCGUAGGUGAACUGCGGAAGGAUCAUUAUUGAAAUAGCAUGACGAGUUGUCGCUGGUCUUUUCUUUGACCGUGCACGCUCUGUCGUUCUUCAUUUCUCCAUCUAUUUGUGCACCUCUUGCGUAGACCUUUUCUUGAGGGCUUUCCUCGGGUCGUUAGGACUGCUUUGCAAAAACAAUGAAUUUUUGUGGGCUUUCCUUGUCGCUACCAACACAUACACCAGUGUAAUUGUUUAGAAGGAAAUGGAAUUUGAUGCAUAAUACAACUUUCAGCAACGGAUCUCUUGGCUCUCGCAUCGAUGAAGAACGCAGCGAAAUGCGAUAAGUAAUGUGAAUUGCAGAAUUCAGUGAAUCAUCGAAUCUUUGAACGCAUCUUGCGCUCCUUGGUUAAUCCAAGGAGCAUGCCUGUUUGAGUGUCAUUAAUGUCUCAACCACACCGUGAGGUGUGGCUUGGAUUUGGGGGUUACAGGCUUAGUCUGCUCCCCUGAAAUGCAUGAGUGGUAACGACCUCUCCAUUAAGAUGUGAUACAUAUCUGCAUCUAGUUGAGGGUUUCGCUGCUAUACAAGAGUUGGAUUUGAUAAACUUGACCUCAAAUCAGGUAGGACCACCCGCUGAACUUAAGCAUAUCAAUAAGCGGAGGAAAAGAAACUAACCAGGAUUCCCUUAGUAACUGCGAGUGAAGUGGGAAGAGCUCAAAUUUGUAAUCUGGCGGCCUUUGGACGUCCGAGUUGUAAUCUAAAGAAGUGCUACCUGUGCUGGACCGUGUACAAGUCUUCUGGAAUGGAGCAUCACAGAGGGUGAGAAUCCCGUCUUUGACAUGGACUGCCAGUGCUCAAUAGGUGUGCUCUCGAAGAGUCGAGUUGUUUGGGAAUGCAGCUCAAAAUGGGUGGUAAAUGCCAUCUAAAGCUAAAUAUUGGCGAGAGACCGAUAGCGAACAAGUACCGUGAGGGAAAGAUGAAAAGAACUUUGGAAAGAGAGUUAAACAGUACGUGAAAUUGCUGAAAGGGAAACGCUUGAAGUCAGUCGCGUCCGUCGGGAAUCAACCUUGCUCUUGCUGGGUGUACUUUCUGUCGGACGGGUCAGCAUCAGUUUCGGUCGCUGGACAAAGUUCUUUGGGAAUGUGGCAUCCUCGGAUGUGUUAUAGCCCUUGGGACACAUGCAGCGGUCGGGAUUGAGGAACUCAGCACGCCCGCGAGGGCUGGGGCUUUUUGCCCACACGACUCUGCUUAGG